ACGGAAGGCAGGAGUGGGGAAUAUUGCACAAUGGGCGCAAGCCUGACCCAGCAACGCCGCGUGAAGGAAGAAGGUCUUCGGAUUGUAAACUUCUUUUAUCAGGGACGAAGAAAGUGACGGUACCUGAUGAAUAAGCCACGGCUAACUACGUGCCAGCAGCCGCGGUAAUACGUAGGUGGCAAGCGUUAUCCGGAUUUACUGGGUGUAAAGGGCGCGUAGGCGGGGAUGCAAGUCAGAUGUGAAAUCCAUGGGCUCAACCCAUGAACUGCAUUUGAAACUGUAUCUCUUGAGUGUCGGAGAGGUAGACGGAAUUCCUAGUGUAGCGGUGAAAUGCGUAGAUAUUAGGAGGAACACCAGUGGCGAAGGCGGUCUACUGGACGAUAACUGACGCUGAGGCGCGAAAGCGUGGGGAGCAAACAGGAUUAGAUACCCUGGUA
rnacentral:rRNA from 1 species